rnacentral:rRNA from 1 species
AGCGAACGCUGGCGGCAGGCUUAACACAUGCAAGUCGAGCGGGCCCUUCGGGGUCAGCGGCAGACGGGUGAGUAACGCGUGGGAACGUGCCCUUCGGUUCGGAAUAACUCAGGGAAACUUGAGCUAAUACCGGAUACGCCCUUAUGGGGAAAGGCUUGCUGCCGAAGGAUCGGCCCGCGUCUGAUUAGCUAGUUGGUGAGGUUAUGGCUCACCAAGGCGACGAUCAGUAGCUGGUCUGAGAGGAUGAUCAGCCACACUGGGACUGAGACACGGCCCAGACUCCUACGGGAGGCAGCAGUGGGGAAUAUUGGAAAAUGGGGGCAACCCUGAUCCAGCCAUGCCGCGUGAGUGAUGACGGCCUUAGGGUUGUAAAGCUCUUUUCUCCGGGACGAUAAUGACGGUACCGGAGGAAUAAGCCCCGGCUAACUUCGUG